rnacentral:rRNA from 1 species
UUGCAUAUCAAAAAGCGGAGGAAAAGAAACCAACCGGGAUUGCCUUAGUAACGGCGAGUGAAGCGGCAAAAGCUCAAAUUUGAAAUCUGGUACCUUCGGUGCCCGAGUUGUAAUUUGGAGAGGGCAACUUUGGGGCCGUUCCUUGUCUAUGUUCCUUGGAACAGGACGUCAUAGAGGGUGAGAAUCCCGUGUGGCGAGGAGUGCGGUUCUUUGUAAAGUGCCUUCGAAGAGUCGAGUUGUUUGGGAAUGCAGCUCUAAGUGGGUGGUAAAUUCCAUCUAAAGCUAAAUAUUGGCGAGAGACCGAUAGCGAACAAGUACAGUGAUGGAAAGAUGAAAAGAACUUUGAAAAGAGAGUGAAAAAGUACGUGAAAUUGUUGAAAGGGAAGGGCAUUUGAUCAGACAUGGUGUUUUGUGCCCUCUGCUCCUUGUGGGUAGGGGAAUCUCGCAUUUCACUGGGCCAGCAUCAGUUUUGGUGGCAGGAUAAAUCCAUAGGAAUGUAGCUUGCCUCGGUAAGUAUUAUAGCCUGUGGGAAUACUGCCAGCUGGGACUGAGGACUGCGACGUAAGUCAAGGAUGCUGC